rnacentral:rRNA from 1 species
UACGUAGGGGGCAAGCGUUGUCCGGAAUCAUUGGGCGUAAAGCGCGUGUAGGCGGUUCGGUAAGUCGGCUGUGAAAGUCCAGGGCUCAACCCUGGGAUGCCGGUCGAUACUGCCGGACUAGAGUUCGGAAGAGGCGAGUGGAAUUCCCGGUGUAGCGGUGAAAUGCGCAGAUAUCGGGAGGAGCACCAAUGGCGAAGGCAGCUCGCUGGGACGUUACUGACGCUGAGACGCGAAAGCGUGGGGAGCAAACAGG